rnacentral:rRNA from 1 species
GAUGAACGCUGGCGGCGUGCCUAAUACAUGCAAGUCGAGCGAACGGACGAGAAGCUUGCUUUUCUGAUGUUAGCGGCGGACGGGUGAGUAACACGUGGAUAACCUACCUAUAAGACUGGGAUAACUUCGGGAAACCGGAGCUAAUACCGGAUAAUAUUUUGAACCGCAUGGUUCAAAAGUGAAAGACGGUCUUGCUGUCACUUAUAGAUGGAUCCGCGCUGCAUUAGCUAGUUGGUAAGGUAACGGCUUACCAAGGCAACGAUGCAUAGCCGACCUGAGAGGGGGAUCGGCCAGACUGGAACUGAGACACGGGCCAGACUCCUACGGGAGGCAGCAGUAGGGAAUCUUCCGGAAUGGGGGAAAGCCUGACGGAGCAAAGCCGGGUGAGGGAUGAAGGGCUUCUGAUCGGAAAACUCUGUUAUUAGGGAAGAACAUAUGUGUAAGUAACUGUGCACAUCUUGACGGUACCUAAUCAGAAAGCCACGGCUAACUACGUG